GAUGAACGCUGGCGGCGUGCCUAAUACAUGCAAGUCGAGCGAACGGACGAGAAGCUUGCUUCUCUGAUGUUAGCGGCGGACGGGUGAGUAACACGUGGAUAACCUACCUAUAAGACUGGGAUAACUUCGGGAAACCGGAGCUAAUACCGGAUAAUAUUUUGAACCGCAUGGUUCAAAAGUGAAAGACGGUCUUGCUGUCACUUAUAGAUGGAUCCGCGCUGCAUUAGCUAGUUGGUAAGGUAACGGCUUACCAAGGCAACGAUGCAUAGCCGACCUGAGAGGGUGAUCGGCCACACUGGAGCUGAGACACGGUCCAGACUCCUACGGGAGGCAGCAGUCGGGAAUCUUCCGCAAUGGGCGAAAGCCUGACGGAGCAACGCCGCGUGAGUGAUGAAGGUCUUCGGAUCGUAAAACUCUGUUAUUAGGGAAGAACAUAUGUGUAAGUAACUGUGCACAUCUUGACGGUACCUAAUCAGAAAGCCACGGCUAACUACGUG
rnacentral:rRNA from 1 species